rnacentral:rRNA from 1 species
GAUGAAACGCUGGCGGCGCGCCUAACACAUGCAAGUCGAACGGUUAAAGCAUCUUCGGAUGUGUAUAAAAGUGGCGAAACGGCUGAGUAACACGUGGGCAACCUGCCCUUUGCACUGGGAUAGCCUCGGGAAACCGAGGUUAAUACCGGAUACUCCAUAUUUGUCGCAUGGCGAAUAUGGAAAGCUCCGGCGGCAAAGGAUGGGCCCGCGGCCUGUUAGCUAGUUGGUGGGGUAGUGGCCUACCAAGGCAAUGAUGGGUAGCCGGGUUGAGAGACCGACCGGCCAGAUUGGGACUGAGACACGGCCCAGACUCCUACGGGAGGCAGCAGUGGGGAAUCUUGCACAAUGGGCGAAAGCCUGAUGCAGCGACGCCGCGUGCGGGAUGAAGGCCUUCGGGUUGUAAACCGCUUUCAGCAGGGACGAGGCCGCAAGGUGACGGUACCUGCAGAAGAAGCCCCGGCUAACUACGUGCCAGCAGCCGCGGUAAAU